UUCUCUUGCAUCAGCACUGAGAUCAAACCCCUCACACAUGAGAGAUCUGUGGCUGGAUGGGAGUAAAGCAGGAGACUCAGGAGUGAAGCAUCUUUCUUCUCUUCUGGAGGAUCCCAUCUGUAAACUGGAGUCACUAAGCCUGUCAAACUGCAGUAUUACAGAUGAAGGCUUCAGAUCUUUAGCAUCAGCACUGAGAUCAAACCCAUCAGCCCUCAGAGAGCUUUGGCUGGAUGGGAAUCAUACUGGACGCUCAGCACUGCAGCUGUUCUCUGAACUUCAGGAAGAUCCAAACUCUAAACAUAUCAACAUAAAGAUCUAGACUUUCAUGAAUCCAUUCACAUUUUAUUCCACAUUAAAUAUUCCUCUACAUUGUGUAUAAAACAAAUAAUGACAUCUGAUGUAAAAAUGCUUUCUCUUUAGUUACUGGAAUAAUUAGUGACAUGUUGAAGUCACUGCAUAUAUGAUAUAUAGUAGUUGUCCAACAGAUCCUUUCCACUGUACCUGUCUUUGUUUAGGAAGAAAUGAUGUUACUCCUAUCUCUGUACUCCACUGGACUGUAAAUAUAUUUCCCUCUCCCUUGUA